rnacentral:rRNA from 1 species
UGGGGAAUAUUGCACAAUGGGGGAAACCCUGAUGCAGCGACGCCGCGUGAACGAAGAAGGUAUUCGUAUCGUAAAGUUCUGUCUUAUGGGAAGAUAAUGACAGUACCAUAGAAGAAAGCUCCGGCUAAAUACGUGCCAGCAGCCGCGGUAAUACGUAUGGAGCGAGCGUUGUCCGGAAUUAUUGGGCGUAAAGGGUACGCAGGCGGUUUAAUAAGUCGAAUGUUAAAGAUAGGGGCUCAACCCCGCAAAGCAGUGGAAACUGAUAAACUUGAGUAGUAGAGAGGAAAGUGGAAUUCCUAGUGUAGUGGUGAAAUACGUAGAUAUUAGGAGGAAUACCAGUAGCGAAGGCGACUUUCUGGACACAAACUGACGCUGAGGUACGAAAGCGUGGGGAGCAAACAGG